AAUAUUGGACAAUGGGGGCAACCCUGAUCCAGCCAUGCCGCGCGUGUGAAGAAGGUCUUCGGAUUGUAAAGCACUUUAAGUUGGGAGGAAGGGAGUUAGGUUAAUACCUUGAAUUUUUGAUGUUACCAACUGAAUAAGCACGGGCCAACUCUGUUCCAGCAGCCGCGGUAAUACAGAGGGUGCAAGCGUUAAUCGGAAUUACUGGGCGUAAAGCGAGGGUAGGUGGUAGAGUAAGAUGGGUGUGAAAUCCCCGGGCUUAACCUGGGAACGGCUUUCAUAACUGCUGAGCUAGAGUACGGUAGAGGGUAGUGGAAUUUCAUGUGUAGCGGUGAAAUGCGUAGAUAUAGGAAGGAACACCAGUGGCGAAGGCGACUACCUGGACUGAUACUGACACUGAGGUGCGAAAGCGUGGGGAGCAAACA
rnacentral:rRNA from 1 species